GGAAGUAAAAGUCGUAACAAGGUUNCCGUAGGUGACCUGCGGAGGAUCAUUAAUGGGUUGAUUUUCUAGUUGCUACAAACAACUAGAAACAUCUCUUAUCCUGUGCAACGACCUUUUCGUCGCCUGGGGUUUGAAAAUAGUCUUUUUCUUUUCUUAAAAAAAAGAAAUUGCUGACCCCAAUGGGCAACAUCUUAUUAAAAUACUUUUUUAACUGAAAUCGGGUUUUUUAUAAGCCUAUUUUUCUUGAUGAUUUUCGUUGAGAAAGUUAACCAAACGUGGGAAAGAUUUGAAAUCUUUUUGAUGUUUGAAAAACAACUUUUAGCAAUGGAUCUCUUGGUUCUCGCAUCGAUGAAGAACGUAGCAAACUGCGAUAAGUAGUGUGAAUUGCAUUUAGUGAAUCAUCGAAUCUUUGAACGCACCUUGCACUCACUGGUAUUCCGGUGAGUACGCCUGUUUCAGUAUCAUUGAAAACACACAAUCAAAACUUUUUUGGUUUAUGAUUGGCCUUGGGCUUAUUACAGUUUGGUUCAUUCAUUUGGAUCAAGCGGCCUGGAAUAGAUUGUCUGGCUAAUUGCAUCGUUGAUGAUCGCUAUUAGACUUUGGCUUUUUUAAAUGAACUGGAGGUUGAUUAACCAGUUUUAGCUUUAGUCGAAUGGUCAUUGUAAAUCGAUCUUGGUCCAGCGGUUGAGGAUAACCGGAAAACAAAACCAUAACAAUCACUUUUUUCGUAUCGAUCUGAAAUCAGGUGGGACUACCCGCUGAACUUAGCAUAUCAAUAAGCGGAGGA
rnacentral:rRNA from 1 species